rnacentral:rRNA from 1 species
GGUGAACGCUGGCUACAGGCUUAACACAUGCAAGUCGAGGGGAAACGACGGGGAAGCUUGCUUCCCCGGGCGUCGACCAGCGCACGGGUGAGUAACGCGUAUCCAACCUGCCUCUGACUGAGGGAUAACCCGUCGAAAGUCGGCCUAAUACCUCAUGGCAUCGUCUGCGGGCAUCCAACGACGAUUAAAGAUUUCAUCGGUCAGAGAUGGGGAUGCGUCUGAUUAGCUUGUUGGCGGGGUAACGGCCCACCAAGGCGACGAUCAGUAGGGGUUCUGAGAGGAAGGUCCCCCACAUUGGAACUGAGACACGGUCCAAACUCCUACGGGAGGCAGCAGUGAGGAAGAUUGGUCAAUGGGCGAGAGCCUGAACCAGCCAAGUAGCGUGCAGGAUGACGGCCCUAUGGGUUGUAAACUGCUUUUAUGCGGGGAUAAAGUGAGGGACGUGUCCUUCAUUGCAGGUACCGCAUGAAUAAGGACCGGCUAAUUCCGUG